UUUCAUUCUUACUCUUCUUUCUCUCACUACUUUUAUCUUUUUCUCUCAGUAUUUUUAUCUUUCUACUUGUCUGAUCUUCAUUUUUUCUCUUCUCAUCUUGCAGGAAAACUAUUCAUUUUUUGAACAACAACACAAGUAUACGAAAUUUGUUUUCUCUUUCACUAAAGAUUACCAACACUAAAACAAAGUUGAGGAUGUAAAUAUGAUCUGUAAAAAGUAUAUCAAUACUUAACAUUGAUCUUAAAUAUUGUUGGAUAGAAGACAAUGAAAAUUUAAAAAAAGGAAAAAGUUGAAGGUUGUAAUCUUACUUUUCUUUUUCUUUUUAUUUUUCAGAUCUGUAAAAAUUAUAUCAAUACUUAACAUUGAUCUUAAAUAUUGUUAGAUAGAAGAUGAUGAAAAUUUAAAAAAAGGAAAAAGAUGAAGGUUGUAAUCUUCCUUUUCUUUUUAUUUUUAUUUUUUAGAUCUGUAAAAAAUAUAUCAAUACUUAACAUUGAUCUUAAAUAUUGUUAGAUAGAAGACAAUGAAAAUUUAAAAAAAAAUGAAAAAUAUGAAGGUUGUAAUAAAUGGAAGUGAAUAGUAAUGAGAAAAGGUAGAAAUAAGGUUACCGAACAAAUACAACUUCUUUGUACUCUUUAUCUUUUUAUUCUAUAUUAAUAUUAGUUCUAAUGUUUCUCCACUCAUUAAAAUAUCCUUUAGAUGAAUAAAGAAGAUCAUAAUUUAAAAAUAAAUUUCUUGACGAAAUCAAAGAAAAAUGGAGAAAUUAAAAAAUAUGAAACUAUAUAUUUUUAAAAGAUAAAACAAAAAAUACAAUCAAAUCCAAAAAAAUCAAUCAAAGUUUCUUGUCCUUUUGAUUUUCACUUUCAUUAAAUUUUGCAACAACUUCAUAUAAAAAAAAUAGAAAAAUACAAUCAGAUCCAAAAAAAAAUACAAACAAAACAAAAAGGAAUAAAAACAUAUAGUGCUCUUCAUAUACAAAUUGAAAAUUCAAAUAGAUCUAAAAAAACACAAACAGAACAAAUCUAAAAAAUUAACAGCUACCACAAGAAAAGUUAAGUUUCUAAAUCUAAACUUUAUUAUUGUUGUUGUAUGCAUGAGAGAAGGAAAGAAGACAAAAGUAAUAUAUUUACAAAAAAAAAUCUAAUGACAAAUACCAACCAUGUACUCACAAGAUAUUUACAAAAUAGAAGGAUUUCAUUUUCCCACACGGUGGAUGCAAUUUCCGGCGCGGUGGUCACCGGUAAAAUUAGUCUGAUCUGGAUUUUUACUUUGUGAGAUUUGUAGUGAAUAUCAAUGAGAGUCUUUAUAUGAUGGUGAUUUUUUUGAAGGUUGUCUAUGGUGAUGGAGAUCUAGAAGAAAAUGUCGCGGGUAGGAGAAAUAUAACAUAGAAAGAAAAAAAAUUGAUGAAAGGAAGAUAACUGAUAACUUGAGAAGAUGAGUUGCUGUUGUUCCUUGUCUUUCCCUUCUGCAUCUUUGAUUUUGCCGUUGUUCUUUUACAAAUGGAGGAGAUGGACAUCACUUUUACAAAUGGAGGAGAUUGAUUUUGUCAAAUAAAUUAAAAACAAAAAGAAACAUAGAGGGAAGAAAACGCAGAGGAAAGGUGGUGGUGGUGGUUCAUUAGGACUCAGGAAGAAGAAAAAUGCGAGAGAUAGAGAUAGAUGUUUGAGCGGCGGCUAGGAUUAGAGAAAGUCAGAAAACUGAGUUACAUCUAAGGAGUGGUUAGGUUUUUUUUAUUUAUUUUAUGGGCUGGGCUGGGCAUUAAGCCCAAAUUAAGGCAUGUAUUUUGGGUCUGAAAGUACAAGUUUGAUUGUAUUUUUAUACGGGGAACAAAUUGCUUA